CCUACGGGGGGCAGCAGUGGGGAAUAUUGGACAAUGGGGGGAACCCUGAUCCAGCCAUGCCGCGUGUGUGAAGAAGGCCCUCGGGUUGUAAAGCACUUUCAGUGAGGAAGAACGCCUGGUGGUUAAUACCCAUCAGGAAAGACAUCACUCACAGAAGAAGCACCGGCUAACUCCGUGCCAGCAGCCGCGGUAAUACGGAGGGUGCGAGCGUUAAUCGGAAUUACUGGGCGUAAAGCGCGCGUAGGUGGCUUGAUAAGCCGGUUGUGAAAGCCCCGGGCUCAACCUGGGAACGGCAUCCGGAACUGUCAAGCUAGAGUGCAGGAGAGGAAGGUAGAAUUCCCGGUGUAGCGGUGAAAUGCGUAGAGAUCGGGAGGAAUACCAGUGGCGAAGGCGACCUUCUGGACUGACACUGACACUGAGGUGCGAAAGCGUGGGUAGCAAACAGGAUUAGAUACCCGUGUAGUC
rnacentral:rRNA from 1 species